rnacentral:rRNA from 1 species
UACGUAGGGGCAAGCGUUGUCCGGAUUUAUUGGGCGUAAAGAGCGUGUAGGCGGCUUUACAGGUCCGUUGUGAAAACUCGAGGCUCAACCUCGAGACGCCGGUGGAAACCGUAAAGCUAGAGUCCGGAAGAGGAGAGUGGAAUUCCUGGUGUAGCGGUGAAAUGCGCAGAUAUCAGGAGGACACCCGUGGCGAAAGCGGCAUCCCUGGACCAACACUGACGCUGAGUGAGCGAAAGCCAGGGGAGCAAACGGGAUUAGACGUACCC